UACAGAGGGUGCGAGCGUUAAUCGGAAUUACUGGGCGUAAAGCGCACGUAGGCGGCUUGGUAUGUCGGGUGUGAAAUCCCCGGGCUCAACCUGGGAACUGCAUCCGAAACUGCCUUGCUCGAGUAUGGGAGAGGGAAGUGGAAUUUCCGGUGUAGCGGUGAAAUGCGUAGAUAUCGGAAGGAACAUCAGUGGCGAAGGCGGCGUUCUGGACCAAUACUGACGAUCAGGUGCGAAAGCGUGGGGAGCAAACAGG
rnacentral:rRNA from 1 species